AAAUGUCCUUCUGCUAGAAAGUUAUGACAAGCUUGAAGAACAUGUAAACAUGCUUCUUUUUUUCGAACAUAUAAGCAUCCUUCAAAAUAGAGUAGGUUAUUCUUAAAUAUUGUACUUGAACUUCAAAACAUCAUGAGACUUAAAAGAAAGAUUCUUGAUAUCUUAAAGAAGGAGAUUAGAGGAUAUACUUGAUUGAAUUUUGGAAGUCUUAUAAAACAUUGUUAUAUAGCUCUUAGUUAGAUAAUAUAUAUGGAGGCAAGAAUAAAGCCUUCUUCAUUCUUUAUGUCAAUACCUUUUUAUUCGUUAGUCUUAUUUCAAAAUUUUCUAGUCUUCUUAUCUUUGAUAAUAGUUAUUUUACUUUAAUA
rnacentral:lncRNA from 1 species